GUUAAGCGACUAAGCGUACACGGUGGAUGCCCUGGCAGUCAGAGGCGAUGAAGGACGUGCUAAUCUGCGAUAAGCGUCGGUAAGGUGAUAUGAACCGUUAUAACCGGCGAUUUCCGAAUGGGGAAACCCAGUGUGUUUCGACACACUAUCAUUAACUGAAUCCAUAGGUUAAUGAGGCGAACCGGGGGAACUGAAACAUCUAAGUACCCCGAGGAAAAGAAAUCAACCGAGAUUCCCCCAGUAGCGGCGAGCGAACGGGGAGGAGCCCAGAGCCUGAAUCAGUGUGUGUGUUAGUGGAAGCGUCUGGAAAGGCGCGCGAUACAGGGUGACAGCCCCGUACACAAAAAUGCACAUACUGUGAGCUCGAUGAGUAGGGCGGGACACGUGGUAUCCUGUCUGAAUAUGGGGGGACCAUCCUCCAAGGCUAAAUACUCCUGACUGACCGAUAGUGAACCAGUACCGUGAGGGAAAGGCGAAAAGAACCCCGGCGAGGGGAGUGAAAAAGAACCUGAAACCGUGUACGUACAAGCAGUGGGAGCCUCUUUUAUGGGGUGACUGCGUACCUUUUGUAUAAUGGGUCAGCGACUUAUAUUCUGUAGCAAGGUUAACCGAAUAGGGGAGCCGAAGGGAAACCGAGUCUUAACUGGGCGUUAAGUUGCAGGGUAUAGACCCGAAACCCGGUGAUCUAGCCAUGGGCAGGUUGAAGGUUGGGUAACACUAACUGGAGGACCGAACCGACUAAUGUUGAAAAAUUAGCGGAUGACUUGUGGCUGGGGGUGAAAGGCCAAUCAAACCGGGAGAUAGCUGGUUCUCCCCGAAAGCUAUUUAGGUAGCGCCUCGUGAAUUCAUCUCCGGGGGUAGAGCACUGUUUCGGCAAGGGGGUCAUCCCGACUUACCAACCCGAUGCAAACUGCGAAUACCGGAGAAUGUUAUCACGGGAGACACACGGCGGGUGCUAACGUCCGUCGUGAAGAGGGAAACAACCCAGACCGCCAGCUAAGGUCCCAAAGUCAUGGUUAAGUGGGAAACGAUGUGGGAAGGCCCAGACAGCCAGGAUGUUGGCUUAGAAGCAGCCAUCAUUUAAAGAAAGCGUAAUAGCUCACUGGUCGAGUCGGCCUGCGCGGAAGAUGUAACGGGGCUAAACCAUG
rnacentral:rRNA from 1 species